rnacentral:lncRNA from 1 species
AGAGACGAGCUAUAAGAGAGACGUUCUUCCGCUGUAGCUCUGUCGGUCUGCAACCCUCCCGGCCUGAUCCCCUCUAAACUCAGCAGUGGGAGCAGAGCCAUGGUCCUCUCUGGCUCUCUUCUAAACAUAGCUCUCCACCCCUUACCCCCAGCAGACGGUUUCCAUGGGGAAGUGAACCGGGACUUCCCUUGCAAGCCACGCCCUGAAACCAGACGUAGGAGUUGGGAGGUGGCUUCUCUGCCUCCCCCCCACAAAAAAACCUCUUGGUGAUUUCCUCCUGGUAGGAGGAGACCUUGGUCACCACAGCUAUCACAGUUUGCAGAUCUCGUCACAUCUCUUCUCCUCCUAUCUCCAAGGACCAUGACCCUGGGGAUUUUCCGAAGGGUCUUUUUGAUGCUGUCGGUGGCCUUGGGCCUAACUAAGGGAGACUUGGUGAAGCCCUCCAGGGGUCAGCUGGUAAACUGCACUUGUGAGAACCCACACUGCAAGAGGCCAAUCUGCCAGGGGGCAUGGUGCACAGUGGUGCUAGUUCGAGAGCAGGGCAGGCACCCCCAGGUCUAUCGGGGCUGCGGGAGCCUGAACCAGGAGCUCUGCCUGGGACGUCCCACGGAGUUUGUGAACCAUCACUGCUGCUAUAGAUCCUUCUGCAACCACAAUGUGUCCCUGAUGCUGGAGGCCACCCAAACUCCUUCGGAGGAGCCAGAAGUAGAUGCCCAUCUGCCUCUGAUCCUGGGUCCCGUGCUG